rnacentral:ncRNA from 1 species
UGUUUGGAGAGUUUGAUCCUGGCUCAGGACGAACGCUGGCGGCGUGCUUAACACAUGCAAGUCGAGCGGAAAGGCCCUUCGGGGUACUCGAGCGGCGAAC